UCGAGAGGUCUGCUACCUGUGGUCGUAUGUGUCAUAACGACCACGAGGCUGGCAAUUUUUUGCCAGUUGAAUUCCUUAAUAGUUGCAAAUUUCUCGAAAAAAGACAUAUCUGGACGUAUGUAGAAUGCAACUUGUUGAACCGGACUUGAAAUAGCUUAGCUUGAUAUCGCUGGUUCUUACCAUUUCACCCGUCAAUCAGGUGACGUAUGACUAUGUUCCUAUUCGAAAAAUCGUUGAACCUGGACCAUCAUGAUAAGAAUGUGAAAUUGAAAUUCAAGAUAAAUUUUUUGCAAAUCAUUAGAAAAUUUUGUCAGAUUGCUCCUUCAAUCAACUGGUGAACCAUAUUAUCACCAUUUGAACAAAUGUUUGAUUCUUCAAAGACAACAACCAACCUACAUCAUAAGAUCUUGACGUUGAAAUAUUUUUCUCCAAUUCUGGUUUCUAUUUUGGCAAAGUAACAUAUCUGCAGAGUUGUAUUAGUUAUUGAUGAUUUUCAUGAGCUAUAGUGAUACUGACAAAAGUUUGUGCAUUUGACAUUUGCAAAGGUCGC